UUGUGUCUUCGAGUCGUUGAUUUCACACUGCCGAGAAAAGCCUCUAGAUAGAAAAUAGGUGCCCGUACCGCAAACCGACACAGGUAGUCAAGAUGAGAAUUCUAAGGUGAGCGAGCGAACUCUCGUUAAGGAACUCGGCAAAAUGACCCCGUAACUUCGGGAGAAGGGGUGCUCUUUAGGGUUAACGCCCAGAAGAGCCGCAGUGAAUAGGCCCAAGCGACUGUUUAUCAAAAACACAGGUCUCUGCUAAACCGUAAGGUGAUGUAUAGGGGCUGACGCCUGCCCGGUGCUGGAAGGUUAAGAGGAGUGGUUAGCUUCUGCGAAGCUACGAAUCGAAGCCCCAGUAAACGGCGGCCGUAACUAUAACGGUCCUAAGGUAGCGAAAUUCCUUGUCGGGUAAGUUCCGACCCGCACGAAAGGCGUAACGAUUUGGGCACUGUCUCAACGAGAGACUCGGUGAAAUCAUAGUACCUGUGAAGAUGCAGGUUACCCGCGACAGGACGGAAAGACCCCGUGGAGCUUUACUGUAGCCUGAUAUUGAAAUUCGGCACAGCUUGUACAGGAUAGGUAGGAGCCUUUGAAACGUGAGCGCUAGCUUACGUGGAGGCGCUGGUGGGAUACUACCCUAGCUGUGUUGGCUUUCUAACCCGCACCACUUAUCGUGGUGGGAGACAGUGUCAGGCGGGCAGUUUGACUGGGGCGGUCGCCUCCUAAAAGGUAACGGAGGCGCUCAAAGGUUCCCUCAGAAUGGUUGGAAAUCAUUCAUAGAGUGUAAAGGCAUAAGGGAGCUUGACUGCGAGACCUACAAGUCGAGCAGGGUCGAAAGACGGACUUAGUGAUCCGGUGGUUCCGCAUGGAAGGGCCAUCGCUCAACGGAUAAAAGCUACCCCGGGGAUAACAGGCUUAUCUCCCCCAAGAGUUCACAUCGACGGGGAGGUUUGGCACCUCGAUGUCGGCUCAUCGCAUCCUGGGGCUGUAGUCGGUCCCAAGGGUUGGGCUGUUCGCCCAUUAAAGCGGUACGCGAGCUGGGUUCAGAACGUCGUGAGA
rnacentral:rRNA from 1 species